CGGUGGAUCGGGAAACCAGUAAUAGAGCCUCUGAAUUGACCUUGUUGAUGUCUUUAUCCAGUUUCACGAUUCUUUUGACCCGUCCAGUUGGAAAUUGGGGUCGGAUCUUCACUUCUGUGUUCUCCUCUUCGGCCAUUGAUGAUUAAUCGGGAAAUAAUUAGAUAUUUGAAGCAAAAAUUGCUUCUGGGAAAUUCGACUUUUUAGGGUUUUAUAUUGGCGGGAACUGCGGUAUUGGGAAAUCGCCCGCCG
rnacentral:misc_RNA from 1 species